rnacentral:misc_RNA from 1 species
GAUGAAGAACGCAGUGAAAUGCGAUAAGUAAUGUGAAUUGCAGAAUUCAGUGAAUCAUCGAAUCUUUGAACGCACCUUGCACCCUUUGGUAUUCCGAAGGGUAUGCUCGUUUGAGUGUCAUUGUACUCUCACACUUCUAAUUCCUUUCGGGAUUGGGAGCGGUGGACUUGGGUGUUGCUGCUUUAGUUGUGGCUCACCUCAAAUAAGUUAGUGCAACUCUUGGUUGGACAUAGUACGGCGUGAUAAGUGUCUUCGCCGGCGCCUCUGUAAGGAGGGUGGCCGAUCGGGAGCUCUGUGCUUCAAACCGUCUUCGGACAAUCUUUGACAACUUGACCUCAAAUCGAGUAGGACUACCCGCUGAACUUAAGCAUAUCAAUAAGCGGAGGA